UUAAGAAUUUUUAGCAUUGCUUUAAUAUUCUCAAUUCAUUUGUAAAAUUAAAAGAUAAAAAUAUAUGGCUAAAAUUCUCAAAUUUCUUUAUGCUAUAGUUUUGUUUUUCUCCCUAUUCUUUCUUUUAGCGGCUAGCUUUCCAUGUGAAACUGAUGAAGAUUGUAGAAAGGUGUAUAGCGGGGAGAAGUUUGAAGCCCAAGUCACGUGCGUUCACAGAACCUGUUAUUUCGUUAUGGUCUUAUAAGGAAUAUUAUCUUAUGGUAGAAUAUUUCAUAAGCUACCAUUAAGGUUUUAUGUUUCCAACCAAGAAUUGUAACUUUAUAUAUUUUUGAAAUUAUGAGUUUUUCUCCAGAAUAUCGAUAAUAAAAUGAAAACGAUAAUAAAACUUACUAUAA